CGUACUCCACAGCUGAGCGGCAGACAGGGACACAGAGGGAGAGACGGGAGCGCAGUUGUGGCAGGAAAGACGUCCACCCCCUCAGCGCCCCCACCGCCCCUCUUCCGCACAGACGGACACACAGCCACACCAGGACACACAGCCACACCAGGACACACGCCGCAGACCAUCCUACUCACACUCUGUAACCGGGGUAACGGGGCCUUCAGGUCUCAAGAGAGGAGGUGCUAAGACACUUCACGAGCGGGGGAAACUGUUUACAAACGUAAAGUUGUUUCCACACCACUCCGAGGGGGUGCAGGGGAAACAUAGGGAAAACUCAGGCAGGAAAAAACACUCCACCAGCCCUCCACCCAGAGCGACCUGGAAUCCAGACCGACCGGCCAGGCACCUGGCAGCAGAAGCAAACUUUUGCGUAAAGCUGCAGCACACCUCCCAGCCUCGGCACGACUCGCCAGAAGCCCCGUUUCCAAUUUGGAAGGAGGGAAGCCGGGAAGGGUGGUGGGAGUGUUGGCAUUCACACGUGGCCCCCUCUCUCGGACCCCUGUGAGACUCAAACCCCCACCGCCUUUUGUACGCCCGGCUGCCCAGGCUUCUGAGAGAAAAUCGUGCCCGAGCAGAGUCGCGGUCACUCGGUGAGCCGGCUCCGUAACGUGGCCGUGAACCCCUCACCGCCAGCUUCACCUGCAGCCCCUACACGACACCGGGAUUUCGCGCGGAUAAAAACGAGGCAAAGUGCAGGCCGCCCCCGGUCCUCUGCCGGGCAAUGGGUCUUACCUGUCUCUCCUCUCCGCCGGGACGCCCAGGUGGACUCAGAGGCCCCAGGUUCCCCGAGAGUCACGAGGGAAAGGCUGGCCCGCGAAUCCCAAGUGAAACGUCAGCACAACUCGAGUGCGGGACACAGUCUUUAAAGGCAGGACAUCUUUGUGCCGGGUCUUGGGAGACGUGUCUCCGUCUGCCCCAGGCCCCAGGGACAGAUGCUCUUCCAGUCCUAGCGGAAUAUAUGCUCCCUGCUUCUGACCUAUCUCCCUACCCGCCGCGCCACCCCAAAUGCUUCCUGUGACUUUCUUUAUCCCGAAGAUCCAAUAGAGAAAGUCCAUCUUAAAGAACGCAGUUGCAAUGGA